UACGUAGGGGGCUAGCGUUGUCCGGAAUCAUUGGGCGUAAAGCGCGUGUAGGCGGUCCGGUAAGUCCGCUGUGAAAGUCGGGGGCUCAACCCUCGGAUGCCGGUGGAUACUGUCGGGCUUGAGUACGGAAGAGGCGAGUGGAAUUCCUGGUGUAGCGGUGAAAUGCGCAGAUAUCAGGAGGAACACCAAUGCGAAGGCAGCUCGCUGGGACGUUACUGACGCUGAGACGCGAAAGCGUGGGGAGCAAACAG
rnacentral:rRNA from 1 species